GGUUCGUAGUGACCUGCGGAGGAUCAUUA
rnacentral:rRNA from 5 species